UACGAAGGGGCUAGGCGUUGCUCGGAAUCACUGGCGUAAGGCGCAACGUAGGCGGACUCUUAAGUCGGUGGUGAAAUCCUGGAGCUCAACGUCCAGAACUGCCUUCGAUACUGAGAGUCUCGAGUCCGGGAGAGGUGAGUGGAACUGCGAGUGUAGAGGUGAAAUUCGUAGAAUAUUUCGCAAGAACACCAGUGGCGAAGGCGGCUCACUGGCCCGGUACUGACGCUGAGGUGCGAAAGCGUGGGGAGCAAACAGG
rnacentral:rRNA from 1 species